rnacentral:rRNA from 1 species
UACGAAGGGUGCGAGCGUUGUUCGGAAUUACUGGGCGUAAAGGGUUCGUAGGCGGGAGCUUAAGUCAUGUGUGAAAUCCCCAGGCUCAACCUGGGACGUGCACGUGAAACUGAGCUUCUUGAAUCUUGGAGAGGGUGAUGGAAUUGCCGGUGUAGGAGUGACAUCCGUAGAGAUCAGCAGGAACACCGGAGGCGAAGGCGAUCACCUGGCCAAAGAUUGACGCUGAGGAACGAAAGCGUGGGGAGCAAACAGG